GGAAAAAUUAUAUAACUUGUCCAACUAAAGUGAGACCAAAAUUAAGGGAGCAGGACUUACAGAAAGGGAGCAGAGCCAGCUCAUAGCCUUCGCUCUCUAAUGUAUACAGAUCCCCCAGAAGCCUUUCUACAUGACUAAAUGUAUUUCAGUUGUGUUUCUUGAAGGAAUGGUAGCUCAGUGUGUAAUAAUAUUGGUCAUAUCUAUAGAGAAAACACUUUCAUCCGAACUCUUAAGUGCUUCGCUGACAUUAAUGAAUCCUGGCUGGAGAUAAACAUUAUUUGUAUUUCUGAAUAGGGCACCUGAGGCAUGGAGAGACUAAGUUUCAUGAGUGAGAAAGGCACUUACAUCCACCUGUGCAACGUGAUCUCUGUGGCUGCAUUUACUAAAGCUGGGCGGAUGCUGACACCUGUGGCUCACCCUCAUGGAUGGUGUCAGCAUUAACCCACCUCUGUCUUUCUCUCAUUGCCCUUAGUGUUCUCACACCUAGAGUUAAAAUGCCAAACACUUUCAAAGAUCUUGCUGAUUCUGCAGAUUUCCCGGUGCACGUUUUCACUGCUUUCAGUGGUUUCUGGUUGGGCUGGAGCUUCCACAAAUUGACACAGUAGAAAAAAAGUAACUCAUGAUACUGGGAUUUGUGUCUGAACUGGGAUCACUUCCCAGAUCCCAGGUUAUCUCCUUGCCUUGGCCAAACGUGUCAUCAUUGCUGAACGACACCUGCACGUAUCUCUUCUGCUGGCACCUGGUAUCUGAGUGAUGGAAACCUAGGUGCACAGGAAAAAAGGAGCUGUGACAGCCUCCACCAGCACCCUGCAUGAAUCAUCAGGGCAACAUGAUACCCAGACCACUCAAGCAGCACGUGUGCCAGAGAGCAUGAGCAAAGAUACAGAGUUCAGCAGCACCUCACUGAAUCUGAGCGGGGUUCUCCAAGCCGCCAACUCCUUUCAGCUCCUUGAAGCAUAUCUGAAGAAGCUGAUGGGGUGGAAUGGCAGAAUCACAGCCUGUGGGGGACUGUUUGGCAAGGGAAUUGUACAGGCUGUCUUCCAGCAGAUCCUGUUGCUGGUUCCUGGGUUACCUCUCUAAUUUUUGCAUCUGGUACACAGCUCAAGCAUGAGAAGCAUUGUUCCAAGACAGCAGAUGGAUGAACCACUAUAAAGGUAGUGGCAUCCCAGGUUGUGAAAUCAGGAAGAGAAUGUAACUUUUGCCCACUGUGACAGAAGCAUAUUUGAAGCAGAAAAAUGAGUCUCAGUAUCUCACAGUUUACUCACAGUGGAACGCAAAUUCCAGAAAAUAAGUCAUUUGAGGACUCAGAUUAAUAUACUGAUUACUGUUUUCCAAAAUAAAGGAAUGUUAUUUAUUUUUAUUGCUUUUCAGGUGUAAUGGUUCACAGCAAAUAGUAUGGACUGCUCCUCCUCCAACCCUGUGAUGCUCUUCCUUGAAACUGUGCCACCUCUUCUAUACCAAUGUCUUUCCCUUCUCCCACAUCUUGAUGCCCCUCUGCCAUUUUUACCUGCACUGAAAAUGUUAGUUAAAUUUAUUGUUAUACUAAUUACUCCAUUUACAAAAAUACAGUUGUAAGCCUUUCCUUGA